rnacentral:rRNA from 1 species
UACAGAGGUCUCAAGCGUUGUUCGGAUUCAUUGGGCGUAAAGGGUGCGUAGGUGGCGCUGUAAGUCGGGUGUGAAAUUUCGGAGCUUACUCCGAAACUGCAUUCGAUACUGCUGGUGCUUGAGGACUGGAGAGGAGACUGGAAUUCAUGGUGUAGCAGUGAAAUGCGUAGAGAUCAUGAGGAAGACCAGUGGCGAAGGCGGGUCUCUGGACAGUUCCUGACGUGAGGCACGAAGGUCAGGGGAGCAAAACGGG